AGCAGUAGCCGCGGGAAUACGUAGGUCCCGAGCGUUGUCCGGAUUUAUUGGGCGUAAAGGGAGCGCAGGCGGUCUAGUAAGUCUGAAGUUAAAGGCAUUGGCUCAACCAAUGUAUGCUUUGGAAACUGUUAGACUUGAGUGCAGAAGGGGAGAGUGGAAUUCCAUGUGUAGCGGUGAAAUGCGUAGAUAUAUGGAGGAACACCGGUGGCGAAAGCGGCUCUCUGGUCUGUCACUGACGCUGAGGCUCGAAAGCGUGGGUAGCGAACAGGAUUAGAGACCCCCGUAGUCCCUGUCUCUUAUACA
rnacentral:rRNA from 1 species